UGAGGGUGCUGCUAUGCUUUUUAUCAACCAAAGAUAAAGAAAGAGGGACUGGUGACGCAAGACGGAAGACCGUGACUUCAUUAAGCGAGACCGGCUUUGUACUCUGCUAGUUUGUACCCACCCUUAAAGAGACAGUACCGAUGUCUACAGCUUUGCUUCUUCGACCCUGGAAUCCCAGAUGUCAGUUUUAAGAAUGUUUCACCAUCUUUUGAAGAACUUCUAUACAUUCAUUAAUAAAUUGUUCCAAUUGAUUUAUUGGUCUGUGUGUGUGUGGCAAAAUCCAGAAUAGAACCAGUUGGGUGUCUUGUAGUGACAAUUUAUUAGUAGAGGUUUUGUCUUCUAGUUUAAACCUAGGUGGUGACAAACGUUUUGAGUAAGGAACAGAAGUGUUCAAUUUGCUGUGGUCUCAAUCAAAACCUUCCUUUUCUACUUUUUUGGAAAGAAAAAGGUGCAGUGGUCUCUUCAUUUUUUCCAGAGCUGUAUGUUUGAAAUCAGCAAAUUUUUCUCCCCACAAUCACUCCCUGACAUUCAUAAGCUCCAUAUGGUUCAUUAACAAAAAUGGGUGCAUGACAUUUCAUUUUAAAAUCCAUAUAGCAAGUUACUAGUAUUUCGUUUUGGUUGUCAGUAAACACUAUCACUUUUAAAUACUUCAUUACAUGUAUUAACAAAUCUGGGGAACUUGUUAGUCUGAGACAGAGCAAUCCUUUAUGUUGUGGAAAUGUCUUUUACUAAUGUAUUCUCACUGAGUCCCCUUAUUCAAAUUAGAAAAGGAAUGUGGGGG